rnacentral:rRNA from 1 species
UACAGAGGCCUCGAGCGUUAGGCGGAAUCACUGGGCUUAAAGCGUGUGUAGGUGGAUGCCUAAGUACCUUGUGAAAUCCCACAGCUUAACUGUGGAACUGCUUGGUAUACUGGGUGUCUUGAGCCACUCAGGGGCUACCGGAACAAACGGUGGAGCGGUGAAAUGCGUAGAUAUCGUUUGGAACGCCAAUGGUGAAAACAGGUAGCUGGGGGUGUGCUGACACUGAGACACGAAAGCCAGGGGAGCAAACGGG